CAGUGUUUACUGCGCCUACAGCUUCUUGCUCGCUCCCUGAUACUUUGAUCUCUGACUUUUUGUUGUUUGGUGCUCGCUGUUUCUCUUGGGAUCUGUGGAUUUUGACCAUUUGAACUCUUCUCCGGCUUUAGAGCUGUUUUCCAUCUUAAGCUCUUUGCUGGGCAUGCUCUCUGACUCCCACACUCUAUGAUUUCAGAUGAAUGACGCUGAUAUCAGUCCUGACUCAUGUGAAACCCUACUAGCUGGGCUGGGCCACUUACCUAGGGAAAAGAGGGUUUUGAAAUUUUAUUUAGAACCCAAGGCCCUUAGUCCUUCACUUAUUGUGGCCUGGGGACAGUGGAUGAGGCCGUCAAGACUCUAUGGUAAUGCAGGUCAUGCUGCAGCUGGUGGCACUCAUGGCUCAGCUAGUGGAGAUAAGGUUGGAACUACUGAGGCUUCAUUUGCAAACGCUCCAGGAUAAAACCUCUGUGCUCCCCACCUCCAUACUGCUAUUGAUCUUGCUGCCAAAACCGUUCGAGUAGGACUCUAACCAACUACCAGACCUCCAUCUACAAAUCCAGUCCCACGUGUAAACUUAGUGUUUGGGUCCUGUGAACACUACAAGCAGUCACUGCCUUCUAUUUGUUGGGAGUAGGGGACUGAGCAAUACGUGAUUCCCCUCCAAUGGCCUGGGAUAUCCCUUUUUGGUGUUGUGUCAGGUUCUAGUCUGUCUUACGAUUGGCGUGGUUGCUUGGCUCAAAUGGAAUUGAGUUUGCCAGGAAAGACGCUGUCUCAAGAGUAUCAAGAAGCAGAGGCUUCCCAGACCUCAACUCCUGGACUCCCGGUGCUCGAACCUGUCUCAAACAAGAAGACGAGACAAUGGCGAAGGACGCCCACCUGCCAUCCUCCUGUCUCACCCUCCCCCCUGCCUUGCUGCAAGCAGCCUCUCAAGGCCAAACGCAGGCUGGUGGGAAACCACCGAGCUGCACAAGCUACAUGCGCCCCUCCCCUACCAAAAACCCCAAAUAAAAAUCCCUACCCAUUCCUCAUCGGAGAGCUAGCAAUUUUUGAGGCAUGAGCCCUUGCUUUGCCCCCUGUGCCUGGCAUAGUAAAAACCUUUCCUCUUCCACUCAAGACUCUGUUCUCAUUAUUCGGAUUGGCAUCGGGUUCAGAGACCGAACUUUCGGUU
rnacentral:lncRNA from 1 species